UAAAAGAAUGAGCCUGAGGGUCUUAGUCCAUGUUCCCUGGAGAUACAUACUCUGAGAUUGAGGUGUUGGUUCUGACACUGGGGACAUCUUCAUGAGAAAUUAGGAAGGCAUUUGGCGACAUCUGGAUUUCUUUUGUGUUCUUAUCUCAGGCAUAACAUUGACCCUGCUGAUUGGCUGUUUGGAGAGAAACCACAGGGAAAGCAAAUUUAAGUGGAUCCUGAUAAAUCCAGGAUGAUUUCAUACUCAAGGUAUGUCCUAGUUUCAUUUCUGUUGCUAUUAUAAAAUGCCCCAAUGUUAAGUACCAUAGAAGUACCAUAGAAGUUUAUUUCAGCUUACAAUUUCAAGUUGCUUUCAAUCAUUGUGGGGAAGUCAAGGCGGGAGCUUCAAACAGCCAUCUGUAUCCUAUCCACAGUCAAGAACAGAGAGAAAUAAAUGCAGAUGCGUGCACUAGCUGCCUAUACUUAGCUUGACUUCUCCCCUCCCAUAGAGUUCAUUCUUGCCUAAGAAACUGUGCUACCCACACUGGGCUAGGUCAUCCCAUAUCAUUGACUUGAGACAAUCUCCAUAGUUAUGCCCAUUGGCCAUCCCAAGUAGACAAUCCCUCAUUCAGACUCUUUCCCAGGUGAUUUUAGGCUGUUGACCAUUAAAGCUAGCUACCACUGAGCCCUAAUUAUUUACAUAUGCAAAGACUUUAUUUCUAAAUAAAGCCCUUGAGGUGGACACAAGUUUGGGCCGGUAGAGGGUGGACAUGGGUGAUGUGACAGCGUUUUCAUCUGAGGCAUUGCAAUCUAUGUCAUCACCUUGUUUCACUGCCACUCUCAGAUGACAGAUGUCAUUGUGAUUCAAGAAACUUGAGCUCAUGGGUGCUGGAAAAUAGUGUGGUUCCCAUGACAUGUCACUACAAAAUUUCAGUUGGUGGAAGGUCCCAAGAAUGACCUUUUGAAAGUGAGCACCAGGGAGAGAAAUCUCACUAGGAAAACUGGAAGAAACCAUCUUGCAGAGCCUAGCGUCCAGAUGACUGGCAUGCAAGCAGAAGGAAGAUUUUGUAGGGACAGGAUGGGAAUUAAUGGGAAGGGGAAGAAGAGACAGUAAUUAGCGUGCUGGUGAGUAUGGCCAAAGUACAUGAUUGUGCUGGGUAGCUUUGUGUCAACUCGACACAAACAAGAGUCAUUUGGAAAGAGGGAACAUCAAUUAAGAAAAUGCCCCACCAGACUGGCCCAUGGGAAAGGCUACACAGUGCGUUUUCUUGACUGACGAUUGAUGUGGGAGGGCCCAUGUCAUGGUGGGUGGCUCCAUCUUUAGGGUGGUGGUUCUGGGUUCUAUAAGAAGGUUGGCUGAGGAAGCCAUGAGCACUGUACCUCUAUGGCUUCUGUAUAAAUUCCUGCCUCCAGGUUCCUGCUGUGAGUUCCUGCUCCGACUUCUCUGGAUGAUAAACUAUAAGCUGUUAAGAAGUAAACCCUUUCCUCCCUGGGUUGCAUUUGGUCAUGGUGUUUUAUCACAGCAACAGAAACCCAAUGGAGACAGUGAUGUACUUGAACGAGAGCAACUUCAUGAAACCCCACACUGUACAGUGAUGAAAGGAACCCUGUGCACUUAUCACAAUACAAUAGGCAGUACAGCAUUAAAGAUCGCCACAUGCUAACUCACAGGACAGCAAUAGAUGAGAUUUCAGAGCAAUGAGGAGCUAAUUUGGGGCAGGAAGCCCCAGGAAGAAACCUGGGGGUUAGGUCUUGUGAGUUGCUUGUGGUUCCCAGUUUCAGAGCUCAGCUGUCUCACUCAUGUGAGAGUCCAGCUGGAAUUGUCCUAGCUGGUGGGUGGUGUCUGAUGUUAUAUCAUUUCCAUUGUGUGGACGGAAACCCUUGGCAUCCAGGUGGCUUCUGGACCUGGCCAUUGCCCUCUCAUCAGUUCAGAGUCCCAUCCUUUGCAUAAAUGGUUGUACACCUGCUUGCCCAUGUUGAUCUGUUUUACUGAAGACUUAAUGCACUGGAUCAAUAACAGAACUUAAAAAAAAAUAGUGCUUACAAAUGCCAGCAUGGGUUCUUCAGUUCCCGGUUCUCUACUUCAAAGAAGUAGUGGAGAAAUACCAUAUUUUUAACUCUAGCUGAAGCACUAGCCUUCUGUUUUCCUUUAGCCUUUUUGUUUUCAGUAAAGCUGCAAUUCCCAACAACGUCCCCUUUGCUGUAGUUCUCCCCUGCUCCCUUCCCUCCUCCAGAGCCGGCUUCUGCAGGUGUUUUGACAGAUGCCUGGCUCCAACCUGCGCCCAUGGAGAGGCGGAUAUGUUCCUGGCAGUUCAUGUUCCUGCUCAGGCUAUUAACAGCUCCUUAAAUGGGCUCACCAAGACUCAGUUCAGCCCCAGCCGGCCUUUUCAAGCUUGUCUGCCUGGGGUAGUGAUGUUGCUGGCACUUUCCAAAGCUCUUGGAACCAUCCUGUACAUUUAGCUGCUUCACAUGAAGAUGCCACCCCGGGUAGGAAGGGAAGCUGUUCUGGCCCUAGAAUCAAGACCAUGAAAAAAAGAAACUUGUAUACCUUAUCAUUACUGAUCAUUUUUUUUUUUUUUAGUGAGUCCCUUUGGGACCCAAGAGAAGAGAGCUCAAACUGAAAAGCAGGGUAAGGUGACUGAAGCAGAGGAUGGGUAUAACCCUACUGUGUGCUGAAUGAUUGGUAUAACCCCACUGUGUGCUGAGUGAUUGGUAGUCAGUUAACUACAUGUAAGGACUGGGCCAUGAUCACAUGAUCUCCUGAGACUGGCAUGCUCAGCUACUUGCUUCAUCUCAAAGGGCACUCAUGAAACUCCACCUCUUUUGCAAUUUCUACAGCUCCAGAGGGGAUGCCCUGUCCAUCAGUGGCCUUUGCACCUCCAGUGGGUAUCUGACUGACUGCAUCAGAAACAGACGUCAUGGGGACUGCACUGCCUUAGAAUUGGGGUCAAGUGAACCUGGUGUUGAACUCGGGAGUCUUCACACCCCACGGCUUAGCUUUUGAGUGUCUCUAAGACUCAGAGGUUGGCUGCUUCCUGUCUGGGAACAGCUUUUGGCUGUUGACUUGCCUUGCAUGGGCUGCAGUAGAGAGCAGGCCUAAUGGGAAGGCUUCUCUCCCCGCAGAGGCCCUGUAAGUGGCACCACUGGGCGGCUGAUGGGCUGUAAGCAGAAGACACUUGAUUCCAUGGCUCUGUGUGGGAAGUAGAGCUUAGCCUCCCUCUCAGCUUUGUGUCUCAUUUCAUGGAAGACACAUUUUAAAUCACAUCAAUUAUUGGGUUUCCUUGAUUCUAAGCUGUUACUGAUUGUAAAACACAUUAUCUACUUAAUGACUAUAGGGAGGGGGUGAGGAGAGAAAGAAAUACUGCGUAAAAUAUGCAAUUUGACUACAAAGCACAUUUCAAAUUUUUGAAAUGAUAAAUGUGCGAAAUGAGAAAAUGUUUUAGCUGAGCAAUAGCGUUAGCAUAGAAGAUUUACUGCUCCAGUUUAGAGCGAGGCCAGUUUCUUGGGCAGCAGGAGAGGCAUUUUCUUCUUUUGCAGGUUAGUUAUCCUUUUUCCUGGCAGUGGUUUUGGUUCUGCAAUUACCGGAGCGGGAAGAGGCCAGCAGCUCCCACACUGCUCCUGAGGGGCGAUUUGUGGCUGUAAUUUCUCUCUGUUGUCUGCUCUGCCGCCCACCUAGCUAGUGCUGAGUCCCACUGGUGGGCCAACGUUUACCCCCAGAGAGUGAAUUUGCAGGAAGAUAAAUUCCCUGUUCCCUGCCUACAUUUGAAUGCUAUUGUGAGACCGAAUAGAAUACAGAUCACCACCAAAUUGAAUUCUGCGUACCUGCUCUGCUAAGUAGAAAAUUGCAUAUCAAAUAAUGGUUCCUCAGUUCUGCUGUCUGACACAGAACUUCCUGUUUGCAGUGUUCUCUGUCACUCAGGUACAUGAGCCCUUUUGCCAUCCUCAUCUCUCGAUCUUGGGCAUUUUCUUUUUUCUUUUUCUUUCUUUUUUUUUUUUGUUUUUUGUUUUUUGAGACAGGGUUUUUCUGUGUAGCCCUGGCUGUCCUGGAACUCACUUUGUAGACCAGGCUGGCCUCCAACUCAGAAAUCUGCCUGCCUCUGCCUCCUGAGUGCUGGGAUCAAAGGCGUGUACCACCACGCCUCGUGGGCAUUUUCUUUUGGAAAUAUUUUCACUGCCAGCUUCUUCUCUCUCCCCCUCCCCAUAGUGUUCUUGAUAAUACUGUUUAUCUGUUAUAGCAGUAGAGAUGCUGGGCCUCUCUUUGUCUCUGUCUCUGUCUCUGUCUCUGUCUGUCUCUCUCUUUGUGUGUGUGUGUGUGUGUGUGUCUGUGUAAGUGUUUUACAUUACUACCAGCAAACAGCAGGUGCUCAAUAAACGUAUAUUGAAGUCAGAGGACUUCAUGAAUCAGGAGCCCCUGGCUGGCAUAAGACUCUCUCUAAAGCUUUUCCAUUGUGUGGCCUUUGGCCUGGAAGGGAGCCCAGGGCCCCUGCUUUUCUUCAUAAGGCAUGAGUUCCUGUGGUUUAUAUGCUCAUUAGUGUCUGAUUGGCAUUUGAAUACUGCUCUCUCCAUGACAUAAUUCCUCAUUAGACCUUUGUCUCUUUUUCCUCAAACUACUAGUAGACGCUGUGGCCCAGGGACAUCUGGGGAGACGGCAUGAGCCAGUGCAGUUGUCCAGUCCCAUCUGGUCUCCAGGCAGUUGCACUGUCCAGCAAAGCAGGGGAGAGAUGCCAAAUACAAAGAGAAGAGACACGGGCAUCAGCUCCCAGCCCAGAAGCAGUGCCCAGGGUUAGCAGAAUGGGUUUGUCUAGGUACCGGAGUAAUUGGAGUCAACAGGAAGAUCCGACAUCUUCCUCAACUCCAGCACCAAUUUGAUCUUUACCAUGCCCCAUUCCUUUGAGUUUGAAACUUCUGUUUUGAGUCUUCAGUAAAAUAAAACUUCACAGCUCUGUGGAGUGAUGCACACCUUUAGUCCCAGCCCUUGGGAGGCAGUGGUAGGUGGAUCUGUGAGUUUCAGGUCAUCUUGGUUUACAUAGUUCCAGGGCAGCUAGAACUAGAGUAGUAACUCGUUGUCUCAACAAAACAAACAAGGCAAAAUAUCUGAAAGAAAACACCAAAAAUUGUUGCUUUUUUAGCAGGAAGAGUGGGGAGGAGAUGAAGUGCCCACCCACUGAUGCCCCUAGUGUCUCUGAGGCUCAUAGUUGUCGGACAACUCUUUCUGCCCUCUCCAGGAUGCUGCUCUUUAGGGAUGCUUUGUGAGGCUGCGGUGAUGGAAAGGCAGCGCUGCUAGCUUUCUGUGAACAUAGGUUAGGAUUAUCAUAGCCCACACUGAGAGAGGUGGACAUCCUCCCUCCUGCCUCUUAGCAUCUAUGUUCUUGGAGAUUCUAAGGGUAGUGGCAACCUGCAGGCACUGUUUUAUGUUCUGUCGUGCUGGCUUCUCUGGUGAGAUAUGGUCACCACAGACCUUUUCCUUCGCUUUUGUGCUAAGACAUUGGAGCACUGUGUACGGUUUCUAAAGUUUUGUUUGUGCGAGGUUGUGUGUGUUCCAUGCUGGCCGUUUCUGACCACUGUAGCUAUUUUGAGUGAGCUUCAGUACUGUUGAGCGUAUCUCAUUGCUAUAAGCAGACUCCUAGACACCUUCACCCAUGAGUGUGAAACUCCGCAGCCACUUGCCCUGCCUUGCUCUGCAUACCUUAAAUCAGAUGCUUUAAGCAGGCUUCCUACUCCUGUGCCUGAGAUAAUGUCCUUAAGUCCAUCUGGUUUGUGUCACAGCACAGGAUUACCUUUCUCAGACUGAAUAAUGUUGCAUUCUGCACCCACCCACACACACACCUCAUUUUGUUUACCCAUUGGCUUGUCAGUGAGUGUUCGGCUGCUUCCACCACUUGGCUGCUGUGAACUACUACUGUGACUAAGCAAAUAUGCUUUUGCAAUCCUGCUUUGAAUUCUCUGGGCUGCACACCCAGAACUGGGAAUGCUGGAUCGUACUUCCCAUUUUUUCUUCUUCCUGUAUUUAUUUAUUUAAUUAGGUAUUUUCUUUAUUUACAUUUCAAAUGCUAUCCCAAAAGCCCCCCAGACCCCCCCCCCCAACUCUCUUACCCACCCACUCCCACUUCUUGGCCCUGGCGUUCCCCGGUACUGAGGCAUAUAAAGUUUGCAAGACCAAGGGGCCUCUCUUCCCAAUGAUAGCUGACUAGGCCAUCUUCUGAUACAUAUGCAGCUAGAGACACGAGCUCCGGGGGGUACUGGUUAGUUCAUAUUGUUGUUCCUCCUAUAGGGUUGCAGACCUCUUCAGCUCCUUGGGUACUUUCUCUAGCUCCUCCAUUGGGGGCCCUGUGUUCCAUCCAAUAGCUGACUGUGAGAAUCCACUUCUGUGUUUGCCAGGCCCCGGCAUAGCCUCACAAGAGACAGCUAUAUCAGGGUCCUUUCCAUUUUUAAAUGGAGCAGACAUCAGGCUAAGCUGUGUGGCUGCAUCAUUGUUGUCUCUACCCAGAAUGCACAGCGGCUCCCAUUAGUCCUUCUUCUCGCCAACACUUGUUAAUUUCUGCAUUUUGGUUAGUCGUUACCCUAGAGUGUGUUAUUUAGGUUAUAUUUUUUCACGAGUUACAUUUCAAGAUACACUAAAGGGGUUGUGUAAUACACAGGGUGGGCAUUGAGUUUGAAAAUGCUGGGAACAAACUAACUGCUCUAAUGACUUUUUCCAUAGUUUAAAAAUGAGAUAGCAAAAUAUUAUUUUUCACAAUUUCUUAGGAAAUAAUUUAUCCCUAUUUCCUCUCCGGUGAGGACACUCCUCAUUCAUGUAGCUCACACGGAGGACCAACCUGCCUAGUGUGAUUUCCACAGGCAUCUUUAUUCUCUCUGUGCGUAAGAAUUUCCUUUCUCUUCUGGAUGAGCAAUGAGUGAUUUUUCUAUUAAGUAGCAGGACAGAAUACCUGUUUUGUCAUUAAGCCACAGACCAUAAGCAUUAGUAGAUGAUAUUUCCUAGUGAACAUUAGUCUUGAGGACACAUGUCCCCAGAACCAUGGUUGCACCUCCAGAGGUUUUACUGGUAUGGACUUGUGGGCUUCAGAAGUUGGGACACCCUAGCAUCUUCCUUAAAUCACACAAGUCAGUGGUACGAACUAAUAUGAGAGAGAUGCAGGGCAUUUGGUUUAGAACUUUGGGGGUGGUGAUAUGAACUUUCUGGGCUUACUGUGUAGACAGAUGCAGAGAUAAUCUUGGUUGAUCUCUCUGCCCAGUCUUGGGUUUUAGCCAUUAAAGGCCAUCUGUAUUAACACUGGGCUCACUCAGGAUUUUCCUGGUUCUCACCUCUGGAUGUUUUUUCUGAAUUUAGUAUAAGAAGCUGACAUGGGGGGUGGGUGGGAAUUUAACUCAGUUGGUAGAGUCUUUGCCUCCCUUGCAUUAAGGCCAGAGUUUGAUCCCUAGAAUUGCGUAAAUGUAUCAUGGUAGCAUUCUAUGGUGACAGGGGCAAGAGGAUCAAGACUUCAAGGGCUUCCUCAUAGAUGCUAUGGCAAAUUUGAGGCCAGCCUGGGUUACACGAGGCUUUGUCUCAAGAACAACAAAUGUACCCAAAGUAGCUGACCAGGGAUGCAUUUUUCAGGUGGUCUUUUCUCAGUCACCCUCAGUCUCAGUCUCUCAAACAAAUUUUCCUUACUUGUGCCAGUGAUCAAAAGAUGCAGAUGAAAAAAAAUUGUCACAAUAUCUCACCUGAGGAGCAGACGACGGCAAGAUGCUUCUUUUCCCUUUUUAUUGUCAGUAUUUGUGGCUGUUCAAUUAAACGGCACCCAACACUAGCGAGCCCACCGCUAUUUCCGAACGUCCCGUCUUGGUGUUCGUGGCUCUCCAUACAUUUGAAGUAUGACAUAAUCCUUAUGGAACACAUUCAGUUUGUUGCUUCCCAACUUCAAUGGAGGCAGUUCAGUCUGUCUCCUUCUAGACAAAUGGUUAAUGAAAAAGUAGCUGAACGAUCAUUUUCUUGUAAUAUGCAAUUCUGUCUCCUUAAAUACAGGAGCCUGACAGAGCCAUUCAGCGGUUAGUACUUUCUCUGUACAACUGAACUCUUUCUGACCCCCAGAAACUAACAACUGGAUUAAAAAAGAGGGAGAGGGGAAAGUCAGCUGAAAAUAAAUGCUCACCAGGAGUGAGUAUUACCCUGAGAACCGAAUGAAAGGUAUAUUUUGCUUGAUUGUUUUCAGAUAAUGUGUGAAUAAUGGCCUUCUGCUGCCAAAUGCAUUUUUAUUGAUUUUGAAGCAUUUCAUGAUGUUGAUGCCAUGUUUGGAAACUGGCGGGACUGUCUUUAGGUUUCAGAAUUUAGAGUCCCGAGAUUCCUCUGUUAGCCACGUGUCAGUGUGACUGGCCACGGCCCAGAUGCACAAUGGCACCUUCUUCCUGAACCUUAGAGAAGAUAGGAAGUUUUAUCAUGCAUCCCAGGGCAGAACAUGAACUUGGUUUUGUUUUAUCCUUCCUAACAUCUUCAAGGGUUUCUUGAAUAGAACCAAGCAGAGUCAGCUUUGUAGGCCACUCAGUGGCAUUCUCAGGAUGUGGCCUGGAAUAUCUAUUGGUAAUUACCAUCGGCUCUGUGCCAAGCCUGUGCCUUGGUUAUCUGUAUACAUUAUUGAUGAAGGACAGGCGGGCUCUGUCAAUCACUUCCACAAUAGAUGAAGAGUAGUUGCUCAGAGAGGCUGGUGAACUCACUCAAGCACACAGGAGAAUUGUGGCCAAGUCAGCGUUUACACUCAGGUAUUUGAGGUGUUUAACUCUUACACAGCAUCAUGGCUGCUGAGGAACCCUGGGUAGGAAAAGCCCCCCAGUUCUGACUGACCCAGAGACUUAGGGGGGAGAGAAGCCCAAAUAGGACAGAAUGUUUGAAAGGAAACAUGAUCCUGUAUCUCCAAUAUGGGUGCAAACUAAGACAGGAGUGUGUAAGUGCAGCAAAAGUAUAGGAGAUAUUACUUCCUAUUUGUUCAAAACAACUUUAUUUUUCCAUUCUGGGUACUAUUCUAGGACCCUCCACACAAUUGAGAAAGCCUUGUACCACCGAGUUACAUCUUAGUCCAAAUGUCGGUCCUUUACAAUGUGUCCUGGGGCUGGAGAAGGCUCAGUGGCUCAGAGCACGUACUAUUUCCAAAGAACCCAAAUUCAGUCUCCAUCACCACAUCAGCCAGCACCAAACAUCCUUUUCUGGACUCUCCUACAAAUGUGCAUAUCCCACCCCCAUAUGCACGGCUAAAAUGUAAAGAUAAAACCCUUAUAAUGUAUCUUUUUCUGCAUUAUUCUAGUCUACUUUUUUCAUAGAACAAAUGUAAACUGUUCAUAUAGUAAUGUCUUAGUUAGGGUUUCUAUUGCUGUGAUGAAGCAUCAUGAGCAAAAAGCAAGCCGGGAAGGAAAGGGUUUAUUCACCUUACACUUUCACAUCAUUGUUCAUCAUCAAAGAAAGUCAGGACAGGAACUCA